rnacentral:rRNA from 1 species
CCUACGGGUGGCUGCAGUGGGGAAUAUUGGACAAUGGGCGAAAGCCUGAUCCAGCCAUGCCGCGUGUGUGAAGAAGGCCUUCGGGUCGUAAAGCACUUUCAGUGGGGAAGAAAGCCUUGGGGCUAAUACCCUCGAGGAAGGACAUCACCCACAGAAGAAGCACCGGCUAACUCCGUGCCAGCAGCCGCGGUAAUACGGAGGGUGCGAGCGUUAAUCGGAAUUACUGGGCGUAAAGCGCGCGUAGGCGGUCUGAUAAGCCGGUUGUGAAAGCCCCGGGCUCAACCUGGGAACGGCAUCCGGAACUGUCAGGCUAGAGUGCAGGAGAGGAAGGUAGAAUUCCCGGUGUAGCGGUGAAAUGCGCAGAGAUCGGGAGGAAUACCAGUGGCGAAGGCGGCCUUCUGGACUGACACUGACGCUGAGGUGCGAAAGCGUGGGUAGCAAACAGGAUUAGAUACCCUAGAGUC